UGCAGCCUUGUCAAAUUUGGUGCUCACCUGUUGAGUGGGGAGGACCAGCCCUAUGGCUGCCACAUAAAACUGUAGUUCAUGGGCCCCAGGUCUUUGUUGUUUGAUCUGGGGAUAAAAGCAUGCUACAGAUAAGC